UAAGGAAGUGGCAGCCUGAGGCCUUAGAAACAUGAAUAUAUUCUCAUUCCUCAAACACAAAAGAUGUCAUGCAUUUUCUGCAUUUCAUACCCAAAAAGGAUCCUUUAUGCAAUAUGUGAGAGACUCCAGACUCAUAGGAAUGUAGAGAGUAGAUAUAUCAAUGAAAUGGGCCUGGUCUUUCUGUAUAUAGGGUUAUACACUCACACAUUGAGGUCCCCAAGCAGGAAGGGAAGGGGGAGAUGAAGAGAUCCCACUACAGAGAAUAGUCUGAUGACACAAAGACCCGAUUGAAUCAUAAAAUGCUGAUGGGGGGCAGAGUUAUAAGAGGCAGCAGAGGUGUAGGGAUAGAGACAGCCCUGGGGCUGUGACCUUCCUUCUAAGCCACUGUAGUCAUCUCCCUCCAUGAAAGACUCCCUGGAGAGAGCAGAAGUAAGGAACCUCCAUCUCCCCUCACCCUCCUAAACAAACCCAACCCCUUGGGGCCCCUUGUAGCAUUGAAUGUGAGGGAGGGGAAAAGGAGGCAGAGAGGGGGAAUGAUGGAUUGAAAAUGGAGCCUGAGAGCAUUGGAGUGAGAGGGGAACUGACUGGUGGCACAGAGGUUAGUGGGAUGUCCAUAGGUAGACCAUGGAGAUUGGGAGGAUAGGGUUGUUGGGAGAAGGACCUCACCAAGGUGAGCACUGACAUCACUGCUUACCACGUCUCUGCUUGGAGAGUUUAACAAGGGGAGGGUCUGGCUAGGCAGAACUCAUCUUCCCUUGUGUGCUUAUCACCAUAGAGCUGCUAAUGAAUGUGUAAGAGGGGAGAGAGGUCCAGAAAUUUACCCAAAGGCCACUCUGAGGAUCAGUUGGCAGAAAAGUGGUCACGAAACACAAGCCACAGACUGCUGAAUCCAGUUCCAAAAGAAAGAAAAGAUCCCUGCUCAUCCCUCCAGAACAACAGCUUUCCAUUCUGAGGGCUGCUAAUGGAUGUCUGAGAGGGGAGAGGGGUCCAGAAAUUUGCCCAAAGCCCAUUCUGAGGAUCGGUUGGCAGAAAAGUGGUCACAACACACAAGCCACAGACUGCUGCAUCCAGUCCCAAAAGAAAGAAAGGAUCCCUGCUCAUCCCUACAGAACAACAGCUUUCCAUUUGAGGGCUGCUAAUGGAUGUCUGAGAGGGAAGAGGGGUCCAGAAAUUUGCCCAAAGCCCAUUCUGAGGAUCGGUUGGCAGAAAAGUGGUCACAACACACAAGCCACAGACUGCUGCAUCCAGUCCCAAAAGAAAGAAAGGAUCCCUGCUCAUCCCUCCGGAACAACAGCUUUUUCCAUUCUGAGGGCUGCUAAUGGAUGUCUGAGAGGGAAGAGGGGUCCAGAAAUUUGCCCAAAGGCCAUUCUGAGGAUCGGUUGGCAGAAAAGUGGUCACAACACACAAGCCACAGACUGCUGCAUCCAGUCCCAAAAGAAAGAAAGGAUCCCGGCUCAUCCCUACAGAACAACAGCUUUUUCCAUUCUGAGGGCUGCUAAUGGAUGUCUGAGAGGGGAGAGGGGUCCAGAAAUUUGCCCAAAGGCCAUUCUGACGAUUGGUUGGCAGAAAAGUGGUCACAACACACAAGCCACAGACUGCUGCAUCCAGUCCCAUAAGAAAGAAAGGAUCCCUGCUCAUCCCUCCGGAACAACAGCUUUUUCCAUUCUGAGGGCUACUAAUGGAUGUCUAAAGGGGGAGAGAGGUUCAGAAAUUUGCCAAAAGGCUACCCUGAGCAUCACUUGUCAGAAAAGUCAUUUGGAAACACAAGUGACAGAUUGCUGAAUCCACUCCAUGGGAAAUAAAUGAUCCAUGCUGGUCCCCCCA
rnacentral:lncRNA from 1 species